UCAGGAUGAACGCUAGCUACAGGCUUAACACAUGCAAGUCGAGGGGCAGCAUAUCGAAGCUUGCUUUGAUGGAUGGCGACCGGCGCACGGGUGAGUAACGCGUAUCCAACCUUCCCCUUAGUAGGGCAUAGCCCGUAGAAAUGCGGAUUAAUACCCUAUGUUGUAUUAUGAGGACAUCUGAAAGAUACCAAAGGUUUACCGCUAAGGGAUGGGGAUGCGUCUGAUUAGGUUGUUGGCGGGGUAACGGCCCACCAAGCCUGCGAUCAGUAGGGGUUCUGAGAGGAAGGUCCCCCCACAUUGGAACUGAGACACGGUCCAAACUCCUACGGGAGGCAGCAGUGAGGAAUAUUGGUCAAUGGGCGAGAGCCUGAACCAGCCAAGUAGCGUGCAGGAUGACGGCCCUAUGGGUUGUAAACUGCUUUUAUGCGGGGAUAAAGUGAGGGACGUGUCCCUUAUUGUAGGUACCGUAUGAAUAAGGACCGGCUAAUUCCGUGCCAGCAGCCGC
rnacentral:rRNA from 1 species